CGAACGGCAGCGCGGGAGCUUGCUCCUGGCGGCGAGUGGCGGACGGGUGAGUAAUACAUGAGGAAACUGCCGGUUACUUGGGGAUAACAUCUCGAAAGGGGUGCUAAUACCGAAUGUGUACAUUUGACGGCAUCGUUAAAUGUAUAAAGGUGGGGACUCUUCGGAGCCUAUCGGUAAUCGAGGUUCUCAUGUCCUAUCAGCUUGUUGGUGAGGUAACGGCUCACCAAGGCAACGACGGGUAGUUGGUCUGAGAGGAUGACCAGCCACACUGGAACUGAGACACGGUCCAGACUCCUACGGGAGGCAGCAGUGAGGAAUUUUGCGCAAUGGGCGAAAGCCUGACGCAGCGACGCCGCGUGGAUGAUGAAGCCUUUAGGGGUGUAAAGUCCUUUCGACAGGGAAUAAUAAACGCAAUAAUAAUAAGAUUGCGUGAUGAAGGUACCUGUAUAAAAAGCCCCGGCUAACUACGUGCCA
rnacentral:rRNA from 1 species